GACGAACGCUGGCGGCGUGCUUAACACAUGCAAGUCGAACGGUGAAGGAAGAGCUUGCUCUUCCGGAUCAGUGGCGAACGGGUGAGUAACACGUGGGCAACCUGCCCUGACUCUGGGAUAACUCCUCGAAAGAGGUGCUAAUACCGGAUACGACCACUUCGGACAUCCGAUGGUGGUGGAAAAGUUUUUCGGUCAGGGAUGGGCCCGCGGCCUAUCAGCUAGUUGGUGGGGUAAUGGCCUACCAAGGCGACGACGGGUAGCCGGCCUGAGAGGGCGACCGGCCACACUGGGACUGAGACACGGCCCAGACUCCUACGGGAGCAGCAGUGGGAAUAUUGCGCAAUGGGCGAAAGCCUGACGCAGCGACGCCGCGUGAGGGAUGAAGGCCUUCGGGUUGUAAACCUACUUUCAGCAGGACGAAGCGAAAGUGACGGUACCUGCAGAAGAAGCACCGGCUAACUAACGUGCCAGCAGCCGCGGUAAU
rnacentral:rRNA from 1 species